rnacentral:rRNA from 1 species
UACGUAGGGGGCAAGCGUUGUCCGGAUUUAUUGGGCGUAAAGAGCGUGUAGGCGGCCUGGUAGGUCUGCUGUGAAAACUCGAGGCUCAACCUCGAGAUGUCGAUGGAAACCGUCUGGCUAGAGUCCGGAAGAGGAGUGUGGAAUUCCUGGUGUAGCGGUGAAAUGCGCAGAUAUCAGGAAGAACACCUAUGGCGAAGGCAGCACUCUGGGACGGUACUGACGCUGAGACGCGAAAGCGUGGGGAGCGAACAGG